rnacentral:rRNA from 1 species
GACAGAGGUGCCAAGCGUUAGGCGGAAUCACUGGGCUUAAAGCGUGUGUAGGCGGAUCGUUAAGUACCUUGUGAAAUCCCACGGCUCAACCGUGGAACUGCUGGGUAUACUGGCGGUCUUGAGCCACCUAGGGGCAACUGGAACAAGCGGUGGAGCGGUGAAAUGCGUAGAUAUCAUUUGGAACGCCAAUGGUGAAAACAGGUAGCUGGGGCUGUGCUGACACUGAGACACGAAAGCCAGGGGAGCGAACGGG